rnacentral:rRNA from 1 species
UACGUAGGGUGCGAGCGUUAAUCGGAAUUACUGGGCGUAAAGCGUGCGCAGGCGGUUUUGUAGGCCGGAUGUGAAAUCCCCGGGCUUAACCUGGGAAUGGCAUUCGGGACUGCAAGGCUGGAGUGCGGCAGAGGAGACUGGAAUUCCUGGUGUAGCAGUGAAAUGCGUAGAUAUCAGGAGGAACACCGAUGGCGAAGGCAGGUCUCUGGGCUGACACUGACGCUCAUGCACGAAAGCGUGGGGAGCAAACAGG